rnacentral:rRNA from 1 species
ACGAACGCUGGCGGCGUGCUUAACACAUGCCAGUCGAACGGAAAGGCCCUGCUUUUGUGGGGUGCUCGAGUGGCGAACGGGUGAGUAACACGUGAGUAACCUGCCCUUGACUUUGGGAUAACUUCAGGAAACUGGGGCUAAUACCGGAUAGGAGCUCCUGCUGCAUGGUGGGGGUUGGAAAGUUUCGGCGGUUGGGGAUGGACUCGCGGCUUAUCAGCUUGUUGGUGGGGUAGUGGCUUACCAAGGCUUUGACGGGUAGCCGGCCUGAGAGGGUGACCGGCCACAUUGGGACUGAGAUACGGCCCAGACUCCUACGGGAGGCAGCAGUGGGGAAUAUUGCACAAUGGGCGGAAGCCUGAUGCAGCAACGCCGCGUGCGGGAUGACGGCCUUCGGGCUGUAAACCGCUUUCGCCUGUGACGAAGCGUGAGUGACGGUAAUGGGUAAAGAAGCACCGGCUAACUACGUG